UACGGAGGGUGCAAGCGUUAUCCGGAUUCACUGGGUUUAAAGGGUGCGUAGGUGGGCAGGUAAGUCAGUGGUGAAAUCUCCGGGCUUAACUCGGAAACUGCCAUUGAUACUAUCUUUCUUGAAUACCGUGGAGGUCAGCGGAAUAUGUCAUGUAGCGGUGAAAUGCUUAGAUAUGACAUAGAACACCAAUUGCGAAGGCAGCUGGCUACACGAAAUAUUGACACUGAUGCACGAAAGCGUGGGAUCAAACAGG
rnacentral:rRNA from 1 species